GAUGAACGCUGGCGGCGUGCUUAACACAUGCAAGUCGAACGAAGCACUUUAUUUGAUUUCCUUCGGGACUGAUUAUUUUGUGACUGAGUGGCGGACGGGUGAGUAACGCGUGGGUAACCUGCCUUGUACAGGGGGAUAACAGUUGGAAACGGCUGCUAAUACCGCAUAAGCGCACAGCAUCGCAUGAUGCAGUGUGAAAAACUCCGGUGGUAUAAGAUGGACCCGCGUUGGAUUAGCUAGUUGGUGAGGUAACGGCCCACCAAGGCGACGAUCCAUAGCCGACCGGGGAGGGUGACCGGCCACAUUGGGACUGAGACACGGCCCAAACUCCUACGGGAGGCAGCAGUGGGGAAUAUUGCACAAUGGGCGAAAGCCUGAUGCAGCGACGCCGCGUGAGCGAAGAAGUAUUUCGGUAUGUAAAGCUCUAUCAGCAGGGAAGAUAAUGACGGUACCUGACUAAGAAGCACCGGCUAAAUACGUG
rnacentral:rRNA from 1 species